UACGUAGGUCCCGAGCGUUGUCCGGAUUUAUAGGGCGUAAAGCGAGCGCAGGUGGUUUAUUAAGUCUGGUGUAAAAGGCAGUGGCUCAACCAUUGUAUGCAUUGGAAACUGGUAGACUUGAGUGCAGGAGAGGAGAGUGGAAUUCCAUGUGUGGCGGUGAAAUGCGUAGAUAUAUGGAGGAACACCGGUGGCGAAGGCGGCUCUCUGGCCUGUAACUGACACUGAGGCUCGAAAGCAUGGGUAGCGAACAGG
rnacentral:rRNA from 1 species